rnacentral:lncRNA from 1 species
CGAUAAAAAGAAAUAAAAAUAAAGGAAAAAUGAAAAGCGAUGAAAUCUCCUCCCACACUUAAACUGAACAUUGUCCUCAAUGUUUCGAUAUGAGAUAAGGUAUGAGUAACCUGGAAGAGAGAGAGAGAGAGAGAGAGCUAAGGGUGAGCACCGAUACUGUCACCGCCCUGGUCUAGAUGCCUGGGUCGAUGAUGUCUGGAUCGAGUACUAAGUCCUUCCUGCAGCUGCUGAGAGCGACCUAGGAGAGAUCCUUGGGUGGCCUCGAUGAGAGUGAAGUGAC